rnacentral:pre_miRNA from 1 species
UAUUGGUGAGGUUCAAUCCGAUGAUAGGUUUUACAAACAGCUGUAAAAUCAGUAUCUGAUUGAGCCGCGCCAAUAUC